GCUCUUGCUUCUGCAGUAGGUUCUCUAGCAUCGCCAGUUUGAUUUUGGUGUGCCAAGAGUGAAACGGGAAGUCGGUGCGCUUGCUAGGACACGGCACGCUAACCCGACACUGCCCCCGCAACGGUAAAUAAGACAAUUUGGCAUUAUGCCACUGUGCAUCUGCAUAACAGCAACCGCAUGGGAAGGCGCUAAAUUGAGUGAUUCUUUAGUCACUAACUUAUGAGUCCGGAGACCGGCCUAUCGCAACGCAGACAA
rfam:SAR92 bacterium BACL16 MAG-120619-bin48 contig00018.0_to_4_1_120619-bin48, whole genome shotgun sequence.